CCCCGUGAAGGGAAUUUUUGGCUUAGGAGUAAAAGCUAUGAGUUGUGUGUCUGGUCACAGUGAAGUAAGUAGAAAACUGGUCUUGGACUGUGAAACCAGUAGUACAUAAAACCCUGAUACCUUUCCCUUUAUUCCAUUGCAUUACACUGUCUGAAUUGAUUUAACAAGGAUUGCUUCUUACAUUCACUGUUUUUCUGUAAAAACAAAAGAAACCACUUCUUUUCACGUUUUUUUCAUACAUUAUUACUUUGCUGUAGUUGAAAUUAGUGAAAAAGAGAAAGAGAAAGAGAAAGUUGAAGUUGUUUCAUCAUCAGUCCUGAGUUUUCAAAGCCAACUUUUCAGUGGUUAACUGUUUCUUCAAGGAGUAAAGGAGUGAGUUUUGGUAGAUGUUUUUAAAGUGGGUUUUUCUUACUUGAAGUGAAGAUUUGGGUUUAUAGUUCAGAGAUUUCCAUUAAAUUUGAAGAUCUAGCAGAGCUCAUCUGAGCUUAAAGACAGUGAGAAAAGUGGGGUUCAUCUUUUGGUGCUUUAGUUGUUUGAUGAAGUGUUGCAAAAAGAAGGAUUAUUUUUUUUGGUUUUAAAGUUCAGGGAUUUCUUCAUUUAAAGCUUGAGUUUUGGAAAAAACAAGAAAUGGUUUUUCUCCACAGGUGUUGGAGUUUGAACUAGAAAAUACAAGGGUAUUAAUUUUCUGUUCAGACAUUGAUUUACUACUUCGAUGGUUUUUGUCUGAGAACCCAAAAAAAAAGUAGUAUAUUUUUCUGUGCAUUUUUUGGGGUUUCCGAUGACUCCUUUUAGGAGGAGUAGAAUUUCACUUCUGCUGAUUAGCAUUCUAUGGAGAAUUCAGCUUCUUAUUGCUCAGAAUAAUGACCAGUUGAUAAUGGUGGCUCUUAAAAAAGAACUUGGAAUUCCUAUCUGGAGUUCAAAUGAUUCAAGUUACUGUUCUUGGGAGGGUGUACGCUGCAAUUCUGAUCUUUCUUUGGUUGAAAUGCUUGAGCUUUCGGACCGCAAAAUCGGAGGUAAUAUUACUUUAAUCUCAGAACUGAAAGCUUUGAAGUGGUUAGAUCUUUCUAAUAAUAAGCUUCAAGGAUCAAUUCCUUCUUCAUUUGGUAAUCUCACUCAGCUUGAAUUUCUUGAUUUAUCUUUGAACAUUUUUGGAAGUUCAAUUCCUCCAGAAUUGGGUAAACUCAAAAACCUUAGAUCGUUAAACCUUUCCGGCAACUAUCUCGUCUCUAAUAUACCUGAUGAAUUGAAGAAUCUUGAAAAUUUACAAGAUCUUCAAGUUUCAGGUAAUAGAUUGAAUGGUUCCGUUCCUUCAUGGAUAGGGAACUUUACCAAGCUAAGAGUUUUUGCAGCAUAUGAGAAUGACUUAAGUGGAAAAAUUCCUAGCAAUUUAGGCUCCCUGUCUGGUCUUCGUUUGUUGAAUCUUCAUUCGAAUUUACUCGAAGGACCCAUACCUGAAAGCAUAUUUUCUUCUGGGAAGCUUGAAGUUCUAGUGUUAACCAUGAAUAAACUUGUUGGAAAUCUUCCUUUAUCUGUUGGAAGCUGUCAAGGUCUUUCAAAUCUUCGAAUUGGAGACAAUAAACUCACAGGAAGCAUACCUACUUCAGUUGGAAAUAUCAGUAGCCUUACUUACUUCGAAGCUGAUAACAAUAACCUGUCCGGGGAAGUUGUUCGAGAAUUUGCUCAAUGCAAUAACUUAACUCUCCUGAAUUUAGCCUUCAACGGCUUCACCGGGACUGUUCCGCCGGAGUUUGGAGAACUUGCAAAUUUGCAGGAGUUAAUUCUAUCUGGUAACAGUCUCAUUGGAGAAAUUCCUGAUUCCCUUCUUAAGUGCAAGAAUCUUAGCAAGCUUGAUCUUAGUAUUAAUAGAUUGAAUGGAACACUACCAAGAGAACUCUGUAAGGCUCCAAAAUUACAGUUCCUUCGUGUAAGUCAGAAUUCAUUGCGAGGGGAAAUUCCCAGUGAGAUCGGAAACUGCGUAAAGCUACUUGAAUUGCAACUGGGUAACAACUACCUCACUGGAAUUAUCCCUCCUGAGAUGGGUCAGAUUAAGAAUUUGCAGAUAGCUUUGAAUUUGAGCUUCAAUCAUCUUCAUGGAUCUCUACCGUCCGAGUUGGGUAAACUCGAUAAGCUUGUUGCUCUGGAUAUCUCGAGUAAUCAGCUCUCUGGCAGUAUCCCAUCGGCGCUAAAGGGAAUGCUGAGUUUGAUAGAAGUUAAUUUUUCACAUAACUCUCUUACAGGCCAAGUGCCAGUCUUCACACCUUUUCAGAAGAGUCCAAAUUCAAGUUUUUAUGGGAAUAAGGGACUUUGUGGAGAGCCGUUAGGCAUAUCUUGUGGGAAUUCUUUUGAUUCAGACCAAACUUAUCAUCACAGGGUUUCGUACAAGGUUGUAUUAGCAGUAAUUGGGUCUGGUUUAGCAGUAUUUGUUUCUGUUUCAAUUGUCGUGUUUCUUUUUAUGAUGAGGGAGAAACAAGAAAUGGCUGCAAAAUCUGAAGAAAUUGCAGAAGAGAAAAAUCCUGAUCCAGCUCUAAUAAUAGCAGGCAAUGUCUUUGUUGAGAAUCUCAAACAGGCCAUAGAUUUCGACUCUGUUGUUAAAGCAACUCUUAAAGAAUCCAACAAGCUUCACUCUGGAACUUUCAGUUCUACUUAUAAGGCAGUUAUGCCAUCUGGCUUGAUUUUAUCUGUGAAGAGGUUGAAUUCCAUUGACAGAACAGUUAUCCAUCAUCAAAACAAGAUGAUCAGAGAGCUAGAGCGGCUGAGUAAGCUUUUCCAUGAGCAUUUGAUUAGGCCUGUUGGUUUUGUCAUCUACGAAGAAUCAGCUAUUUUGCUGCACAAUUACUUACCAAAUGGAACCUUAGCCCAGCACUUUCGUGACUCGAUUGCUGCUGAAAAAGAUUUUGAACCUGACUGGCCAACAAGACUCUCAAUUGCCAUCGGAGUUGCAGAAGGUUUGGCAUUUCUUCAUCAUGUUGCCAUUAUCCAUCUAGAUAUCUCGACAAGUAACGUUAUCUUAGAUUCCAAUUUGAAGCCUCUACUCGGGGAAAUUGAAAUCUCAAAGCUCUUAGAUCCGUCCAAAGGCACCGCAAGCAUAAGUGCGGUGGCAGGAUCAUUUGGUUAUAUUCCCCCAGAAUAUGCAUAUACAAUGCAAGUUACGGCACCUGGAAAUGUUUACAGUUAUGGUGUGGUGUUGCUUGAGAUUCUCACAACUAGAUCACCAGUUGAUGAAUCGUUUGGUGAAGGAAUAGAUUUAGUGAAAUGGGUUCAUACUGCACCAGAAAGAGGAGACACACCAGAGCAAAUUUUGGAUUCAAGGUUGAGUACCGUUUCAUUUGCUUGGAGGAAACAAAUGCUUGCAGUUCUGAAAGUUGCCUUGCUUUGCACUGAUACAACACCGGCUAAACGGCCUAAAAUGAAGAAAGUGGUGGAACUUCUUCAAGAAGUAAACUGAACCUGAUACGGUAAAAUGUAGUUGCUCUCUACAUUUCCAAAUUUAUUGUUAUAUAUUAUUCAACAGCUUUCAUUUAAGUAGAAGCCUAGAACAUGGAAUCUUGAAGAGGGAUUUUGGGAAGGGUGUUGAAGGAGCAAAUGAUGAUGAUGUCUUAUUUGGUUUACUCCUUCAAUUAUCCAACUGUGUACCGUACAGUUUUUUAUGAGAUUGUAAUUUUCACCAAUCGCGUUGGAAAUGAAUUUCGGAGUGUUCAUUUGGAUGCAGUUAGUGAGUUUUUCUCACUUAUCAAACUCUGCCUCCUACUUUUUCAUUGGCAUGAGAUGUUCUUCCAGUUUGUUGUGUAUAUAAAUAAAAUUGUGCGGUGGAGGCAUACAUUGCUGUGGCUGCUGCUUGUUUUUUUAUUGUUUGCUUGUUAUUCAACCUCCAGUGGUUGUUAUGGUUUCUUGCUGGAAAUUCUUUCUUGUUGGUUUAUUUCGUCUGUGUGUGAAUAAAACCAAGAGCAGAUGUUGUUCUGUAACAGCGUAUGGAUGUAUGAGAUCUUAUAUGAGUGUGGUUUAUUUCUAUUGUUGGUUAUUCAAGGCUGUUUUUAUUCUCCUCAUAUAUGUGCGCAUCUCGGUUUGGCGAUAGUACUGGUAUUGGUUUUCAGUAAGGUGCAGCGUGAAGACCACUGUUCUCAUCUGUCCGGAACAUGCCUUGGAAGUAUGCAUUGUUGCGCUAUAAGAAGUUUCUGCUUUAGCUAGAGUGUGUUGUAUUCACAGUGAUAUGCUUCUCAUGAACCAAUGGCAAUUGCUAAUUGUGAUACUUCCUCUUGGUAUUAUUUCUUCUUCCUCCUGGAUAUGCAAGUGUGUAUGAAGGUAGUGUAUGCAUCUUACAAGCUCAUGUUGCUGAACAUUUGAAGUUCAACUGCCUUUGGAGGAGUUUUCACAUGAUUCUGGUUCGUACAAGGCUAUAAAGAUGCAGGCUCUAUGCCUGGAAUCCAGGCGUUGCAGAUAUAUGCUUUGUGAAGGACAUCUACACAGAUUUCAGGGGGUCCUCCACCUACUUGUUAUCUCCACAGCAUACUUCUCUACAUAAGAACAUAGAGUGCAGGUUAUCUACACAGCGUACAGUGUGCAUAUUUUCUACACAGCAUACAAAGUUCAGGCUUAUGCAACACUUAGUCCACUACAGUCAGUGUUGGUACUUCAAGUUUGAAUUCGUCGUAUUGGCUUGUGUAUCUAGUAUGAAUUUAUCAUGCUCUGCUCCUGCGGCAACAACGAUAUGUUUAUACUACACCAGCAUUAUAUAUGCCUACUCAUGUCUCCACCACAGUUCUUCAUGUCUACCUCUACCACUCCUACAUUACCUUUUGCUGCUACCUCACCUGCUUGAUCAUCAUGAGAAGAAGGAAUGUUAUGUCUCUGCUCCAACAGUUGUUCGUCUGCGGGUCUCUCUACAUCAACUGCUCCUGCAACAUUAUCACCCGGCGCUGCUCAUGUUUUGUGCUUCACCACCUGCAACACUACAACCAUAGUUGCAGUUUGAUUUGCAUCCUAUAUUACUCUUCUGCUGCUUCUACUUUCAUGCAACCUCUGCAUUAACCGUCUCUACUGUGUAGUGUGUGUGAGUGUGACAGCACAGUAGUCUUGUUAUGUACACUCUCAAGGCUUCUUUUCAAGACACCUUGAGAUUGAGGGGGAGUGAUAGAGUGUGUGUGUGUGUGACAGCACAUGAGUCUUGUUAUGUAAAGCCUGUGAGCCACACGUGAGAGUGUCGGUGAUAUAUGAGAGUUGUCCGAGUCUGGUAUAUAAACUCUGUAAGCACUCAGUUGUAAGAUUAAGCUGUGAUCAAUACAGUAGAUCAUUUUAU